rnacentral:rRNA from 1 species
UACGUAGGGUGCAAGCGUUAAUCGGAAUUACUGGGCGUAAAGCGUGCGCAGGCGGUUUGUAAGUCAGAUGUGAAAUCCCCAGGCUCAACCUGGGAACUGCGUCUGAUACUGGAUGGCUUGAAUUCGGGAGAGGGAUGCAGAAUUCCAGGUGUAGCGGUGAAAUGCGUAGAUAUCUGGAGGAAUACCGGUGGCGAAGGCGGCAUCCUGGACCGACAUUGACGCUGAGGAGCGAAAGCUAGGGGAGCAAACGGG